rnacentral:rRNA from 1 species
UACGUAGGGUGCAAGCGUUGUCCGGAAUUAUUGGGCGUAAAGAGCUCGUAGGCGGUUCGUCGCGUCGGCUGUGAAAUCCCGAGGCUCAACCUCGGGUCUGCAGUCGAUACGGGCGGACUCGAGUUCGGCAGGGGAGACUGGAAUUCCUGGUGUAGCGGUGAAAUGCGCAGAUAUCAGGAGGAACACCGGUGGCGAAGGCGGGUCUCUGGGCCGAUACUGACGCUGAGGAGCGAAAGCGUGGGGAGCGAACAGG